ACUCUAGAAGCACAAUGGUUAGUGCACACCCCCGGAAAGAUUGAGACGCGGGUUCGAUUCUCGCCUGGGAUA
rnacentral:tRNA from 1 species